UCUGGGGCGCGCGGGAGGUGGGCUCCGGGCGGCGGAGUGGUUAACGUGGGAAACCUAGCGGGAGCGCGGGAACUAGGAUAAAGCUCCGGAUCCGCGCGGCCGAAGUCGGGGGGCCCCGAAGCGGCCCACGCCCCAGGAGCCCCACAGUCCUCUCCGAGACCCCUGGGAGCUCUCCUCAGAGACCCGGGGCGAAAGCAUCACCUGCUUCAAGAUUUCUUUUCCAGCAGUGGAGGAGGGAAGGAAGCACAACGGACUGUGGUGGUGGACUAUGGGUGAUUUGUUGAACUAUUCACAAUAGCCAAGAUACAGCAGAAGAAUUGAUAAGAAAGAUGUGGUAUAUUUACACAAUGAAAUACUACUCAGCCAUAAAAAAAAAAGAUGAAAUCUUGCCAUUUGCAUCAACAUCCAUGGACUUUAGAGGGAUUCUGCCAAGUGAAAUAAGAACUAUUCACAAUAGCCAAGAUGCAGCAGAAGAAUUGAUAAGGAAGAUGUGGUAUAUUUACACAAUGAAAUACUACUCAGCCAUAAAAAAAAGAUGAAAUCUUGCCAUUUGCAUCAACACCCAUGGACUUUAGAGGGAUUCUGCCAAGUGAAAUAAGGUGGUCCUCAUCCAAACACUUGAAGGACUGAAUAGAACAAAAAGUCUAGCCUUUCUGAGCAAGAGAGAAUUCUCUUUGGACUUUAUCUGCUCCAUCCGUGCUGCUGAGCCUUGAACUUGGUGUUGCAUACUGCAGAUGUUGGAUGUACUGAUCUCCAUAUUCAUAAGUUGCCUGAUUUUACCCAUGAUAGAGGACGCUGCACCACAGAUGCUUCAUGACUCUAUGCCCUCAUCAUGGUUGACCUGACCACAAGUGGUCACCUGAACGUUAUUGGACCAAUGGACCUGUAGACUGGCAACCAAGAAAUUUUAGUCAGCCUCUCUGUGCCUGGGUUAUAAAUGUAGACACAUUAGGAGUUGCUGUUAGCUGUAUUCUGCUAUUUGCCCCAAAGAGUAAAUGAGACGACACUUUUGGCUGGAUGUUUGUAGGGUAAGUGAAAAGGUAUCAGGCUUUUCUGCCCUCCUGCCAUUAGGAUUGAUGAUGGAUCCUUGCAGUCCUGAAUGCAUGCCUGAUGGCGGGCACCUGGAGUAGGGUGCUGAGAUGGGAUGCGUAGAUGGGAUUCACCUGUGCUGAGAGACUGGGCUUAUAAGGGUGGCAUCACGGGGACGCCAGCAGAAGCAUAAAGAACCACGAGAGAAGCAGAAGGAGGAACCACGUGAGCAGGACCACGAGAGAAGCAGAACGAACAUGAGAGAAGGCCGGAGAGCCCAGAAAGAGUGAAGACUUGCUGGGGGCUGGGAGGCCUGCCAGCCUCCCGGCCUUCCAGCACCUCUGCCUGCCAUGUACCUGGUAAAUCCCAAAAAAAGCCUGCAAAAUCCACUGAGGGCUAUAGGACUCCUCCUUUACUCUGCUUGGAUCAUAGAGAACCUGCACUGUGCCCUUCCUGCCAUGACAAUGUUCUACAGUGGUAUCGAGGCUGAGUAUCAAGGGUGGGUGAAGCUUUUCAAACCAGUCCUCCUUUUUCUGCACUAAUCACCACAUUAAUAACUAACACUUAAAAAGAGUGAAAAAAGAAAAGAAAAGAAAAAAGUUAUCUGUGCCUCCUUCAUCUUCAACACAUGACUUUCAGGCUGUGGUGUUCAUCUCCACAAAACUAGAGGAAGCAAAAAGAGAAUGGGUGGAUCACAUGGACCUGUCCUGGAGGUGACAUACAUCAUCACCUUGACUCACAUACUUUUUUUUUUUUUCCUAAAGAUUUAUUUAUUUUUAUACAAGAACCGGGGCACAGGCCAGAUACACGGGAAGUUGAGAGGAUUCACCGGAGACAGAGUGGGGAGCAGAACAGGCAGACUGACGAAAUACUCUGAUGAGGGGAGCAGUGGGCGUGGCAGGAGAGGUCUGCUGCACCAUGUGGGAUUUUCGUCGGCCAGCCGGGAUUGAACCCGCACUGCAGAGGCUGCAGACAGCUUCACAGUGUGGCGCUCAACUGCCUGCGCCACCAGGGAGGCCCACCUUGACUCACAUUCUGUUGGCCAGAACUCAGCUACCCAGCUGCCUCUAACUGCAGACGAGGCUGGAAAAUUUUGUUUAGCAAAUGCCCAGCUAGUUGUCUGUGUCAUAGUUGAUCUCACUCAUGACAUGAUUUCUCGCAAUUUACUCUGAGGAGUUUAGGGAUAAAACUGCAUGGGGUUUAUUCCUAAUAAGCUAAAAAUCCAAUAAAAGAACUUGAAUCCAAAUGGGGAUCUUCUAAUCCACUAAAUUCUUAUGUUUCUAUAUUUAUUGCAUAUCCACAUAUUUAAUUGAGUUUGGGUUCUCUAGUGAUGAAAAAUAUUUGGCAGACAGCUGAAAGAUUUACUGCAUCUAGAGCAUCCCUUCCCUGUUUCCAGUGUGAAGUCUCUGGUGUCACAUGAAAUACAAACUACAGUCAAUUUUCCCUACCCUCAUUUUGACUGGAAAGAUUUUUCUACCCUCAUUGUAUAACUGUGGUUACUCUCUAAUGUGAACUCUUUGAUAUCUAAUUUGAACCAAUAAAAUGAAUAUGAAAAG